AAAGAAAAGGUCACAGCUCUACCAACUGAGCCAGCCGGGUGCCCCUCUAUGGAGCAUGUUUUAAAGACCAGAAGUUUUUGGUUUGCACAUAGCUGAAAUGAGUAAAGAGAUAUCUGUUUCUUGAGAUCAUAAUCCUAUUCCCAGAGAUGAUAAGUAACAAACAACAACAGCCAUAAAAGCUGGUCCAUAAUUUUUACACUUUAUAUGAGGUUUCCUUUUGAAUGACAAGAGACAAACUUCGGGGUUUCUGUCACUAAAAUAAAAAAUACAGAGGGAAUUGUAGAAUCUAUGUCUGGGGAAAUACUUAGGCUAGAAACCUGUUUGGGAUGAUUUAUGGCUUGUUCAAAAGUAAGGGCAUGGUUUCUUUGUUACUUCUGGCUCAGUAGUCAUUAUUAUUAAGUUUCUCAUUUUUUUAAAGCCAAGUGUUAAGAAAGGGAUGGGAACAAGUAAAGACAGGGCAAAGUCAGCAAAAUAAUAGUUGAGAUCUAUAGCAAAGCAGAAUGACUUAAUAGGUUACAUUAGGUAGGUUAAGGUGAAAAACCUACAAUAUUUUCUUUUCUGGUAUUUUUAAAAGAAAAUGAGAAUCUUCAACAAAAAUCCUAUCUACAAAGACUUUGGAUGAUUCCAUAGAACAAUGGCUGAUGUACAUUAGCAUUCAUUGUGGGGCACAGACUUUGGGAAUAAACCCUUUCCUGAAUACUGAUGACCGUAAACACACCAGCUGAGCUAUUUGUUAUUAUUACGAAUUAGAUGUGACUGAACUUCCAUUAUAUAUAUAACUCGUUCCAUCAUGUAACUUGACCAUUGGGCGUAUUUUAAUUAUUGAACCAAGAAAUGAAUAACUGGAAAGGAUGACACCUAAGAAGAAAUUAAUUCAAAUUUUUCUGGAUUGGCCUACCACUGAAGAACUCCGAAUUGGUUUUUUUCCCCCUUUUGUUAUCUAAAAAAAAAAUAUUCAUACAUCUACAAGAUAGAGGUAAAGGGCAGGAAAAUAGAGGAAGGAAACACUCUGGAUUGAGGACCUACAGUAAGUGUUCCAUGUACCCCAUGUUUUACAUGCUUGGACCCUAAGCCCUAUUAUAUGUUGUUUGCUCCAGUGAUCAGAUGUCCUGCUGUACUGUUCUCCCUCUCGUCUAACGGUAUCUGAGCUUUUCUGUUGUCACUACUUGAUUUAAACAGUCUGUUCCAUGCGUUACUCUAAAUUGCUUCAUCUUUUUUGAAGUAGGAUGUAAAUUAUAAAUAAUAAGUGGUGAAUUUGGCCAGUUUUGACUGACCUCGUUAGACUUUAAAUGGGAAUCAUAGAGACCCACAAAUGUACAUUUCAGUUGCUUUGGCACCGAGGGGUAAUGGCUAGAGUUCAUAAAUAAAAUAACAAAAUGAUUCUGUCUUGCGUGCACUGCAGGGGAAGCAACAGAGAGAUGUAGUCCUUGGCCCAUUCUGGUCAGGAAGCUGGGAAAUCACUGGGCUGUGUAUCCCCAACAGGCAGACCUGCAGCCCAGCCUGUUAGCACUGAGCAGCUCCAACUGCACGAUCGAGGGCAGUCCUCACAAUGUGGGAAAGACUGUGGGAAAGACUAUUGUUUGAUUGUUGGUCUUCUCAGCCACAUUGCACCAAAGUAUCUCUCCUCAAUUUAUUAGAGUGCAAGAGUCUCUUACCUUCACAAACUUGGAUACGAGCAAGCUAAAUUAAGCUAUUUUACUUGCUUUGUUGGAAGAGGGGGACCAGGGUCAAAGUAACCUGGCCUGAAAGCACAUUGUGCUGGUAGUAAGGAUUUGAACCCAUUCCUGCAAACUUCCAGUCCAGGGUUCCCUUUACUUCUAUUUCAAGCUGAAGACAUGUUUCAUUUGUUCAAUUUAGUGAAGUCGUUGUAAACUGGGCAUGGGUGCUGGAGAUACAGCUGUGGACAAGACAGAAAAUCCCCUGCUUUCGCAAAGCAUAUGUGCCCAGAGGGAAGGUAGGCAUUAAAUUAUAUAAUGUGUAUCAUGAUAAGAAAUACUUCAGAUCCCUUACAUGAUUCCGUGGAGGCGCCUAAUGAUCCCUAAUCUAGUAUAUCCAAAGACCUCCUGAAAGGCAUGGUGUUUAAGAGAACACUGACAGACUAAUGGGAGUUACCCAAUCAAGGAGGUGGUGUGGGGCAGAGCCUAUGCAGACUGCCUGAGAUGAGAUAAAGAAGAGAAAGAAGUCCUUAAGGUUGGCGUGAGUGUUCCAGGAUGGGCAAUCACUACACCAAACCAAGGCUUUUAGAAGUAAUCCUAAAGACGAGGGGAGAGGGAGGGAAACAGGUUGCCAAUGGGUACGGAUUGAAAGCCGCAGAGAGCGCUAGCAUUAGCUAAAUACCCCAGAAUAUGCAUGUUUCAGCUUAGAUCCCCCGGCCUCAUCUCACCUGAUAAUGUGAAGAAGGCACACAUAGUUAUUUUCCUAAAUGUAGAGUGGGGGAAAGAGAAGCCAGUGCUCUCCUACUUGACGCUCUUCUUCAACUUCUUCAACAUAUGUCUGUGAAGCUGCUGUAUUCAAAGGCAUACACGCCUUGCGCUGGGCGCUAACGAAGAUUCAGUGGGCAAGUGAAUUAUGUGCUGAGUGCUUGCUCAUGACACUCUCAGAGCUGUGGUUACGGGAGGGCUUGUUUACACUAAUGCGAUGAAAAAAGAGGACAAAACUAAAUGAGAUGGUCUGUCUGCAAACAGACAUUCUACAGAUGGCUUAAUGUUUUAAUAAACAACUAAGUUGGUCUCGGGAUCAUAUCCAAGGAUAAGAGAACUGGGGAGUUUAGAUUUUUAAAAAAGAUUACCCCUGAAUGUCAAUUUUAUGGUACCAAAUUACUCUUUGCCAAGAUAAGAGUGCCAACCAUGUGCCAGAUGCCCCAAGUUUGCCUUCUGUUUUAAAAGGACUUAACCUAUUCAUAGUAUUAAGGGAAUUUAUACAGCUUUCUUAACAUGCUAUACACCAAUUUUCAUAUCUCAACACGAACAGGUUUCUUGUUGUAUUUGAAACAUGCUAAGGUGUCACGUCUUACCAUUCUUAUAUGAUUUCAUUGAUACAUUCACUCAACAAAUACUGAGUGUCUCGUUGUACCAGACGGAGGAUGCAAAGUCCUGUUCUUAAGGGGUUUAUAGCCUGGAAAAUCGGAAUGAAAUGAUUAAUGGUUAUGGAAAGUAUUUCUUAGCCAUUCUUCUUACUACUACCUCUAAUAAAAUAUUUAAAGUUGCAUUUUAUAAACAUUUUCAAAUCUCUCUCUCUUUUUUUUUUCUCUUAGAAUUGUGUGAAAAUGCUCUUUUUCUGGGCAUCUUUCACUUAGUGUUAUGCCAUAGAGGCUCACAUCAUGAAUUAACAGGGAGAUUCACUGCCAUGAUUCAUCUUAGUUAAUUCUUUAUGUUUAAAAAGGAAGGAAGAAAGGAAGGAAGGAAGGGAGGAAAGAAAGAAGGGAGGAAGAAAGAAAAAAAAGAAAGAAAAAUAGAAAGAAAAUGCUAAUGAGCAUAGCUCUCCAUGAAACUCUUUAUGGAUAAUGUAUAAUAAGAAAAAAAUUAAGCAAAUAUUUUGGGGAACAGCAAUUUAAGAGCAUAGAAAGGAAAAGUGAAAUAUAAUAAAUAGAAUUGUACAAUAAUCAGUUACUGUUAACCAAAGUUGGGAAAACAGGAGAUUAAUAAUCUGUCCAUACAAUCUAAAGAAAAUCCUCAAUUACAUAAGCUAAGAUCUAAAUCAGACAUGUUAUAGAGAGGAAAUAACUUACUGCAAUUCCUUAAUUCAGCAUUAAAUCAUAUUUCAGCCACCAAUUGCCCUUUUGAAAUCCACCUAGUGACUAAAGGUAUGUCUCUUGCCUAGAAAUAGGUCAAUUAAAUAACACAUUGCAAAUGAAUAUGUGAUAUCUGAUUUCAUAAGUCAUUUAAUGCUUAAUAAGACAAGCAAAUCAAUCAAGGGGAAAAAAUAGUUCAAAUCUGUUGAUGCUGUGGAUUUUGUUUUGCUUCUUUAAUUUUAAAAUCUCGGUAUUACAAAUCAGAAUUUUUCAUUACAUUUCUCUUUUCUUCAGUCUCAAGUGCCGGGUUAUUGAAUCCAUUGUGUUAUAUAUGUAAAUUUUAAAGUGCAAAUUGUUUUUAUUUCAUGUGCUUUUAAAAAUGUUGAUUGCAGAUAGAAGGUUCUAUGGAUAAGAAUUCGUAACUGCAUACAAGUAGGCAUUUUUAAAAACUGUGCAUCAUUUUAUUUUUUUUUAAGUUUAUUUACUUAUUUUGAGAAAGAGAGCAGGGGAGGGGCAGAGAGAGAGGGAGAGAGAUGGAUCUACACCAUCAGUGCAGAGCCCAAUGUGGGGCUCAAACCUACGAACCAUGAGAUCAUGACCUGAGCCAAAAUCAAGUCAGUCACUUAAUUGAGCCACUCAGGUGCCCCAAAAACUGUGCAUCAUUUUAAAUAUGCAUCCUCAUACUUUAGGAUUAGUGAAUUAAAAGAGGAACAUUACCAUUUAGAGUUUCCAUAAACUUGCAUUCACUGAUUGCCCAGAGUUUAAGCACAAGUGAUUUUAAUAAUAUCACAACCUCACUCAGUAACUCACAGCGGCUCCAGACUCAUCUUUUGUCUUUAUUUGGGGCCUGUUGUCUACCACCCAGUUCAGAGCUUAUUGGUAGUUUUUUUUUUUUAAGUUUAUUUAUUUAUUUUGAGAGAGAGAGGCAGAGAGAGGGAGACAGAAUCCCAAGCAGGCUCCAUGUUGUCAGCACAGAGCCUGUUGCCGGGCUCGAACCCACGAACUGUGAGAUCAUGACCCAAGCAAAAGUCAAGAACCAGAUAUUUAGCCAACUGAGCCACCCAGAUGCCCCUGAGAUUAUUGGCAGUUUUAACCAAGAUUCAGUAAAGUCCUUUCUUAACUCUAUAAAUUUUAAGAAUAAUUGUUUCAAAGCAUAAAAUACCAGAAAAUUAUAAAUUGAAAAACUGAAUACUAGAGUUUUAUGAGAGGAGUUUUAUCAAAGCACACAUUCACAUCCUGCAGGGAGCCUAAUGGUGGUACCUCACAGAGACUCCUCCCUCCUCUUUUCCUCCUGGACACAUACAACUUUAGCACAUUUCCUAGAUGCUCUUCUUGGGGUCAUGUGACUGAGUUCUGGCCAAUGAAAAUUAUGCACACCAUUUGUAGGUUUGCCCCCAAAAAUCAUCUUGCACAGGCCUCCAAGUUCUGUCUUUUCCUUUGAGCAUCAGAUGCACAGAAUUCAAGGAAAUACUGAGGUUUGGGGGAUGGAAAGAGGCCACUCUGAGGAAGUACAUGGAAUAUUUUUCCCCCUCUCCCUCCCAUUGCACUUGCACUGGAUCGUGACUGGAGCAGGAAAUGAACCUGUAUUGCAUUAGGUCCCUGAGGUUGGGGGUUGUUUAUCAUAGCAAUCAAUACACGACGUGUGAUACAGUUGGUAAAGGGAGAUAGUGGGUAGGAGAAUGAGAAAGCAAAUAUCCUUGCUUUCUAGUUUGCCACUAAUGCUUUCUUACUGUGUGGAAAUGAAUAUAGCAACAGCGAAAUCACGUGAUAUGAGUGCCAGACACAAAUAAAAAACUUACUAAACCAACAUAUUAAGGUUCAAAUAUAGUUGAGUAUCUUGCUACCAUCUUGUUUUUUGUUUUUCUUCAACCAAGUUCUGCAUACCUGUGUCUGCAGACAUACCUGUGUCUGCAUAUCCAAAUUCUGCAUAUUUCCCCAAACAUAUAUAGCUGCUGACUUGUCCUUGGAACCAAUUAUUCAUGUCUUCACUCAAUAUUCCCCCCCCCCAACUGAUUAUUUAGCUCCUAUCCUCCACUCCUUUUCUAAGUUCUUAAAAUAAUUUUCUAUGUUGGGUGGCGGGGUGGCUCAUGUGGUUAAGCGUCCAACUCUUGGUUUCGGCUCGGGUCAUGAUCUCACGGUUUCAUGGGGUCGAGCCCCACAUCAGAUUCUGCUCUGACCCCAUACAGCCUGCUUGGGAUGCUCUGUCUCCCCCUCUCUCUGCCCCUCUCCCAUUCAUGCUGUCUCUGUGUCUCUCAAAAUAAAUAAGUAAACUUAAAAGAAAAAUAAAUAAAUAAAAUUAUUUUCUGUUUUUCAUAAGUUGUUGAUAACCACUGAAUUUGCAAGGGGAGGAAGACGGAAUCAAUUAUUUCAGCAUAGAAAUAAAAGCCAGUUUUUAAAAAUCACAAUUUUUUAUCGUUAAAAAUUAACUUUUUUUCCUGGUUUUUUUUCCACCAGAUAUUACAAUAUGUUAUAAUGUUAUGGUAAUCAAAACCAGAAUAGUGAUAAUGCCACAACAAACAGAUCAAUGGAUUGAAGUAGAAGACCCAGAAGCAAACUCAAGUGCAAGCAAUGGAGGGAGCAUCAACACAAACAAAACAGGCGUCAGCCAGAAAGCCUAUAGGAAACCAUGGGAGGAAGAUCAAAAUCAGAUUCUUAGAAGUGAGCUGUUCCAGGAGCAGCUUGCGCCCUGAGCAGAGAGGAAGAGUGGCCACCCCAAGCCCCUUCCUGGAAUCUACACUCAGCAGCUCAGCCUCAAGCCACCGUGGCUUUGAACUGUGACGGUGAGCGUCUGUGUUUUGGCUUAAUUUAUUCUGUGCAUCCAUUAGCAAGAUGUGUCCUAAGGAAUCAGAAAAGCUUAAGUGAGUUUAUUCUUUGGAUCUUGGAAUGCUCAAAACAAUUUUCCAUAGACAUUAACGGUAAUUGCUUCUCUGCUUUCUGUCAUUUGGGGUUCUGAAAGCUUUCGGGGAUACACUCUACUUUGGGGUAGCAGAGGAAUCCUGUAUCGUGUCUAGAAAAAAUAAAGGCUCUCGACUCUUCUUAACCUUCUGGAGUAUAACAUUUAGUUAAAUUCUAGUACCGCACACUAAGACCGACAUUAAUAAACUCAACUGCAGUGUUGUCUGAACUUUUUUUAAAUAGUAUGGUGACCCCAGAAAAUGAUAAUAUUUGUAGGAUACACGUCAGGGGGAAAUGCCUUGCUGGGCCACUCUUAGGCCUGAGGGACUAAUACACUGUCAAGAACUAACGUAUUUCUCUUAGAGAAUCUUUUGUUUCUAACAGAAAUUGUUGUUUGAGUGCUGAUAACGAGAGAAUAUUUACAUGACGAGGAGAGAGACCUUUGUUAUGUUGACGAACUCUUCAGGACCCAGGAGAGGACAUACAAAUGAACAGGGUGCUUCUGUCACGUACAUGCCAAGGUCACCACAGCACCCAUAGGAAAUGAUAAGAUUUUGGCACACUUCUGAUACACUGUUUGCGGAGUUCUGCUCUGUUGUGUCAGGAGAAAAACAAGUGAGAUGGAAGGAGAGGCCUUGAAGCCACAGCCUUAAUAAUUAGACUAGCCCCAAUUAAUUAAGUACCUCCAAUAAAAGGCACUCUGCAUGUAUUGGCUUAUUUAACCCCUUUAACAACUACAUGGGAUGGGUGUUAUUUCUUUUCCUUUCCAUUAAGGAAAUCGAAGCUUAGUGUUAUAUUCAGGUCCAUGGGAGUGGUAAAUGCCAGAGCCGUGUUUUGAAUCUAGGCCGGACCCCCCAAUCCCACAUUCUUUUCUCCGCAAACAGCAGGACAUAAGGGGCUUCUGUGUGCCUAAGUGUCUUCGAAUGUUAAAGGACUCUUAUAUGACAGAGAGAAUAGAAAAUUCUAAUACUGUAGGAGGUCAAGCCAGUAGCUAUGAGUGGAAUCGUGAAGGAAGACAGGCUUUACCUCAGAAUAAAGAAGAAAUGAUAAUCUCAUGAAGGUAGAACUUCUCCCCCCAUAUGGUAUUUAGCAAGUGAUUACUUCUUAGGGAAUUUUAGAGGAGACUCUUGUUUGGAUGACCUCUGCUUUCUUCCAACUUCAAGAGUAUGAUGUUAUUGGAAUAUAAAAAGCAUGAGAAGAUCCCUUUACAAAUAUCGUUUCUCUUACAUGAACUUUCUAAGGAGGGAUUUGUAUUUUAGAUUAACUACAGGUGGAUGAAGAGCUCAUUUGCGUUCUUGAUCCAAGAGAGAAGGAUCAAUAAUUCUCCAAAGAGUUUACAAGUGCCUUUGUUAGAAGACUGCCCUAUUAUUCUGCACCUUCCAGGGCCUGGGCCUGGAGUUUUCCUUCUGAAAAAUCAAAAUACAGUCUGCAACUCCCACCACCGCAGGACUGAGAUGGACCAAAGAGUAUCCAUUACUUUCCAUAAGUCUUCCCAAAGAAGUGAAUGGACACCAAUUAGCAAGAAAUCUUGAAAUCCAUAGAUUAUUCUACUUUGGGGAAUGGUUUAAGUGUUUAUUUCAUGUGAUUUUGUUGGUAUGUGUAAGAGAAAGCACUGUAUUUAUUUUCAGAUUUUCUCUUUUUUAAAGAGGGCAUAAUACCUUUUUCAUUUCCCUACCACCUGUUUAAUAAACACACUUCCAGUUUUUACUUUAGAAUAGCAACUAGUCUGAUAAAUCAAGGGUUCUCUAAGAAGAAUAUUUGUAUCCUAGGGGCACCUGGGUGGCUCAGUUGGUUAAGCAUCCAACUUCAGCUCAGGUCAUGAUCUCACGGCUUGUGAGUUCGAGCCCCGCGUCGGGCUCUGUGCUGACAGCUCAGAGCCUGGAGCCUGCUUCGGAUUCUGUGUCUCCCUCUCUCUCUCUCCCCUCCUCAGUUCAUGCUCUGUCUCUCUCUUCUCAAAAACAAAUAAAAACAUUAAAAAAAUUUUAAAAAGAAGCAUAUUUGUUUCCUUGAGUGAUUAAAAUAAUUUGCCACUGACGUGGUAUAGAGAACAUGGAAGACCAGCCAGCAUCUCUGCUUGCUAUCCCCCAGUGUUCUCCCAGGCUUUGUGCCUUUUCUCUCGCCUCUUUACUUUCUUUCUUUGUCUCUUUUUAAAUGUUUAUUUAUUUAUUUUGAGAGAGAGAGAGAGAGAGAGAGAGAGAGCGAGCACAGGGGGAGGAGCAGAGAGAGAGGGAGACAGAAUCUCCAGCAGGCUCUGAGCUGUUAGCAUGGAGCCCGAUGCCAGGCUCGAACUCACCGACCCCAAGAUCAUGACCUGAGCUGAGAUCAAAAGUCAGACGUUUAACCGACUGAGCCACCCAGGUGCCCCUCCUCUUUACUUUCUUUAGGAGUCCCACAAAGAGUCUGAAAUGAUUUUGGAACUGUAAAUAUUAUCUCCUUGAUCUUCAUUCUCCAAAACCAAAGGUGAUUAAGAGACAAAAUCUAAACCAUCACAGGGAAGGAAAUUCUAAAUAGAGAUGUGACUGUUCAAUCACUUGCAAAUGAUCUCCCUUUUCCUUGAGUAACAGUAUGCUUCCUUACAAGGAAAGAAGAAUGAUUGAAGACAGAGGGAAUGUCUAGUGGAUCUGGAUUCUAGAUAAUUCUGUCAUUGAUAGCAUUAAUCAUUUGUUAAAUGAAGGUGAACACAAAAAAUAUCAAUAAAAUUUGCUGAAUGAUGUCUACCUAGAUAAAAUAUCCAUAUGAUUUAUUUCCUGUCGCAUUUUUCCUACCAUUUUUUAAAAGCCAGAUCAUAGACAGGUGAUCAAAAAGUGCUUGUUGAAUAAACAAAUGAUAUAUCAUGAUUGGGAGAUAAUGCUAGAGAUAAUUAUAAUUGUACAGGUGAUUAUAACUCCAUAAUCCUUGAUAUCCAUAUUUAAGAUAACUGCCUGGUAAGUGAAACCACCUUAAAACUCAAGUCCUUUCAGUUGCAUAGAUUCAUUAAUAAGGAUCUAAGACAAACUCAAAAUCUUAAUUUUGCUUCAAAACAAUAGGACCAGUGAUCAUUUCUUCUUUGACAAGCCGAGAAAAUGACAGAGUGUUUAAGAGUGCAGGGACGCCUGGGUGGCUCAAUCGGGUAAGCAUCUUGACUUCAGCUCAGGUCACGAUUUCAUGGUUCAUGGGUUCAAGCCCCGCAUUGGGCUCUGUACUGACAGCUCAGAGCCCGGAGCCUGCUUCAGUUUCUGUGUCUCCUUGCCUUUCUGCUGCUCCCCGACUCAUGCUCUGACUCUUUCUCUCUCAAAAAUAAAUAAAGAUUAAAAAAAAAAAGAGUGUAUAUUCAGGUUUGAGACUGUUGGAAUCCGGCUCCAUCACUUAUCAGCUUUAUCACACUGAGCAAGUUUCUGAUCUAGGUUCUCUCAUCUCUAUCUAUAAAAUGGGGAUAACUCAGAGGGCUAUUAGGAGGAUUAAAUGGGAUAAAUCUUGUAAAGUACUUGGCAUAUUUUAAACCCAUAUACUAUCUCUAGAAAGUAUAGUCAGGGGCAUCUGGCUGGCUCAGUCGGUAGAGCAUGUGACUCUUAAUCUCAGGGUUGUGAGUUCUAGCCCCAUGUUGAGUGUAGGGAUUACUAAAAAAAAAAAAAAAUCUUAAAAAAAGAGUGCAGUCACUAUCAGUACCAGAAACUUUGUUAUUCUGAAGUCUGGGGACAUAAUGCCAUGGAGGUUUGUAAAUGGGUUGACAAGUGCUUCUAAGCCUAGGCAGAGUUCAGAAUAUUAUCCUAGAAAAUAAAGAAGAAUACUGUGUAAAUGGAGUUGCAAAUCUCUUUGUAUUGAGCUGGCCGUUCAGUACCGUAACAAUCUUACAGACGCUCAAGUUAUUCAAGUUUAAGACAAUCCCUGAUGAAUUAGUUCAAUUACUGUGAUGUGGGCCAAAGAGCAAGGUUACAUACAUCCUUUUUGAGAGAGAAAUACCAUUUUAUAUUAGUUUUCAGACUCCUUCAGUUAGAUUUUCCACUGGGGUGUUUUUUUUUAACCACAUUUAAAUUUAACUUCUUGUUCACUUUUCUUACUACUUGUUUUUGUCUAGCAUGGUUUUUGUGCCUUCAGGUGCAUAUGAAUUAUUUAUGCACCCAUAUGAUUUUCUUUCGACAUCUCCUUGCUAUGUUUUAAGUGAAAAGUUAUGAAGGAAUAUUAAAUAAGAUGAGAGCAAAGCCAAGGGAAAUGCAAUAUAGUUAUGUGUGUGUACUGAUAAUUCCAGUCGUCAAGUCUUAGUGGACUCAGCUGAAAAAAACAAAACAAAACAAAACACGUACCUGCCUUCACAAGUUGCUCAUUUUAUAUCACCCUAAGGCAAGAUUAUUUCCUAGAAGACAUCAUUCUGUAAUAUAACCCGUUCUCACCUCUAAAUCUCCCUAGCCCCCACUCCAAAUACCAGGUAAUUUUACUAAAUCAUAAUACAUUUUGUUAGUAGUGUGGGGAAAGGGACUAAAUGAAUGUUGGAUCAUCUAUUUUGCCACUGGGUAAAUUACAAAGUUCCAUUUCUCUGAAUCAAAUGCAUUUGCAAAUCAAACCCUGCAGUAGCUGCAAAGAAGCAGACAUUGCUAGACUCAUAUUUUACAUUCAUUUUAAGUCAUAAAUCUUUAGAGUGCCGUUCUCAGUCCACAGAUACAAUUAUAUAUCUCUCUCCAUGCUGUUCACAGAGAGUAGAAGAAUUUGCCACUCUUGCACUAUUCUAUCUGAACAAUUCAUAUCUUUAACAGGUCUUUCACAGAGACCCAUCUCUCCCUUAAUCUUCUCCCAAAGCCAUAACACUCAUGCAUUUUUCUAUGAUGGAGAGACAGUUUUAGCAUGAAAUGCCCAACUUUGCAUUUUCAUCUUCAAAAUCUCCUCUCUGUAGGGAGU